GACGAACGCUGGCGGCGUGCCUAAUACAUGCAAGUAGAACGCACAGUUUAUACCGUAGCUUGCUACACCAUAGACUGUGAGUUGCGAACGGGUGAGUAACGCGUAGGUAACCUGCCUGGUAGCGGGGGAUAACUAUUGGAAACGAUAGCUAAUACCGCAUAAUAUUAAUUAUUGCAUGAUAAUUAAUUGAAAGGUGCAAUUGCACCACUACCAGAUAGACCUGCGUUGUAUUAGCUAGUAGGUGAGGUAACGGCUCACCUAGGCGACGAUACAUAGCCGACCUGAGAGGGUGAUCGGCCACACUGGGACUGAGACACGGCCCAGACUCCUACGGGAGGCAGCAGUAGGGAAUCUUCGGCAAUGGACGAAAGUCUGACCGAGCAACGCCGCGUGAGUGAAGAAGGUUUUCGGAUCGUAAAGCUCUGUUGUAAGAGAAGAACGGGUGUGAGAGUGGAAAGUUCACACUGUGACGGUAGCUUACCAGAAAGGGACGGCUAACUACGUG
rnacentral:rRNA from 1 species